rnacentral:rRNA from 1 species
UUGAACGCUGGCGGCAUGCCUUACACAUGCAAGUCGAACGGCAGCACGGAGCUUGCUCUGGUGGCGAGUGGCGAACGGGUGAGUAAUAUAUCGGAACGUACCCUAGAGUGGGGGAUAACGUAGCGAAAGUUACGCUAAUACCGCAUACGAUCUAAGGAUGAAAGUGGGGGAUUCGCAAGAACCUCAUGCUCGUGGAGCGGCCGAUAUCUGAUUAGCUAGUUGGUAGGGUAAAAGCCUACCAAGGCAUCGAUCAGUAGCUGGUCUGAGAGGACGACCAGCCACACUGGAACUGAGACACGGUCCAGACUCCUACGGGAGGCAGCAGUGGGGAAUUUUGGACAAUGGGCGAAAGCCUGAUCCAGCAAUGCCGCGUGAGUGAAGAAGGCCUUCGGGUUGUAAAGCUCUUUUGUCAGGGAAGAAACGGUGAAAGCUAAUAUCUUUUGCUAAUGACGGUACCUGAAGAAUAAGCACCGGCUAACUACGUGCCAGCAGCCGCGGUAAUACGUAGGGUGCAAGCGUUAAUCGGAAUUACUGGGCGUAAAGCGUGCGCAGGCGGUUUUGUAAGUCUGAUGUGAAAUCCCCGGGCUCAACCUGGGAAUUGCAUUGGAGACUGCAAGGCUAGAAUCUGGCAGAGGGGGGUAGAAUUCCACGUGUAGCAGUGAAAUGCGUAGAUAUGUGGAGGAACACCGAUGGCGAAGGCAGCCCCCUGGGUCAAGACUGACGCUCAUGCACGAAAGCGUGGGGAGCAAACAGGAUUAGAUACCCUGGUAGUCCACGCCGUAAACGAUGUCUACUCGGAGUUUGGUGUCUUGAACACUGGGCUCUCAAGCUAACGCAUUAAGUAGACCGCCUGGGGAGUACGGCCGCAAGGUUAAAACUCAAAUGAAUUGACGGGGGCCCGCACAAGCGGUGGAGCAUGUGGUUUAAUUCGAUGCAACGCGAAGAACCUUACCUACUCUUGACAUCCACGGAAUUCGCUAGAGAUAGCUUAGUGCCUUCGGGAACCGUGAGACAGGUGCUGCAUGGCUGUCGUCAGCUCGUGUUGUGAAAUGUUGGGUUAAGUCCCGCAACGAGCGCAACCCCUAUCCUUAUUUGCCAGCACGUAAUGGUGGGAACUCUAGGGAGACUGCCGGUGAUAAACCGGAGGAAGGUGGGGACGACGUCAAGUCAUCAUGGCCCUUACGAGUAGGGCUACACACGUGCUACAAUGGCGAGUACAGAGGGUUGCAAAGCCGCGAGGUGGAGCUAAUCUCACAAAGCUCGUCGUAGUCCGGAUUGGAGUCUGCAACUCGACUCCAUGAAGUCGGAAUCGCUAGUAAUCGUGGAUCAGAAUGCCACGGUGAAUACGUUCCCGGGCCUUGUACACACCGCCCGUCACACCAUGGGAGUGGGCUGCAAAAGAAGUGGGUAGCUUAACCUUCGGGGGGGCGCUCACCACUUUGUGGUUCAUGACUGGGGUGAA